GCCGAACGCUGGCGGCGUGCCUAAUACAUGCAAGUAGAACGCAGUUGCGAACGGGUGAGUAACGCGUAUGUAACUGCCUCGUAGCGGGGGAUAACUAUUGGAAACGUUAGCUACUACCCCAUACUGUGAGCUGGACAUUCGGUGUAUUAGCUAGUUGGUGAGGUAAAGGCGCAACAAGGCGACGAUACAUAGCCUACCUGGGCGGGUGAUCGGCCAAACUGGGACUGAGAAACGGCCCAGAAUCCGUCGGGAGGCAGCAGUAGGGAAUCUUCGGCAAUGGACGGAAGUCUGAACGAGCAACGCCGCGUUAGUGAAGAAGGUGUUUGGAUCGUAAAGCUCUGUUGUUAGAGAAGCGGUAACUACCCAGAAAGGGCCGGCUAACUACGUGCCAGCAGCCGCGGUAAUGC
rnacentral:rRNA from 1 species